UUAAUUCAAUAUGGAACAGGUGCCCGAUUGGGCUUAAUAGGGAAGCCGGUGCAAAACCGGCACGGUCCCGCCGCUGUGAUGGGGAGCCGCCUGCAACAAGCCACUGGAAUAGUAAGCUAUUUUGGGAAGGCGCAGUUUGGCUAUGAACCUAAGUCAGAAGAACUGCCUGUUUGACAAUCACCGUU
rnacentral:ncRNA from 13 species